rnacentral:tRNA from 1 species
UGACAGCGCGCGCCCCGAUUGGGCGCGCGCGCUUGGGACGCGUCACGAGCAACCACGAGCGCUCAAGGUGCCAGUUUUUGCGAUGUCAA